rnacentral:lncRNA from 1 species
UAGAUUACAGAAUUUCCAACACAGACUUUUUUUUUUUCUUAGAUGUCUCUUGCAUGGGAACCCUAAAGGAGAAAAGUAUUCUGGUUCAGAUAAGAAGCAAGUUUUGAAAUACCAACAUGUUCUGCAAGCUUAAAAUUCUGGAGUGUGACUCAAGUCAGUGGUGAUCCAGAACAGCAGGGCAGGAAGGUCCAUCACUGAUGCCUUUCUCUGGGAUGCUGCAGUGCAGGAAGGCAACUGCAACGCUUUUUGUUGGCGAGGUCACUUCUUUCAUGACUACAAAGCCAAACAAUCCUCAACAUAAAGACAAGCCAGGUACCUUCAAGACACUGCAAUAACAUCAGUUUAGGCCCUUAGGCAAAGACCAAGGAACAAAGAGGCAAAGACCAAGAAACAAAGAGGCACACC